rnacentral:rRNA from 1 species
UCAAGCUACAAAGGGCGCAUGGUGAAUGCCUUGGCAUCAGGAGCCGAUGAAGGACGUGAUAAGCUGCGAUAAGCUUCGGGUAGGCGCACAUAGCCUGAGAUCCGAAGAUCUCCGAAUGAGGAAACUCACAUGGGAAACCCCAUGUAUCAUUAAGUGAAUACAUAGCUUAAUGAAGGUAACCCAGGGAACUGAAACAUCUAAGUACCUGGAGGAAGAGAAAGAAAAAUCGAUUUUCUUAGUAGCGGCGAGCGAAAGGGAAAGAGCCCAAACCGGAAACUUGUUUCCGGGGUUGUGGACAUAGCAUCAAAGUGGAGGCUAUUGUAACUGAAGAGAACUGGAAAGUUCCACCGUAGAAGGUAAUAGUCCUGUAAGUGAAACGAGAAGACCACGAGUUAUGAUCCAGAGUACCACGAGACACGUGAAACCUUGUGGGAAGCAGGGAGGACCACCUCCCAAGGCUAAAUACUACCUGAUGACCGAUAGUGAAGCAGUACCGUGAGGGAAAGGUGAAAAGAACCCCGGGAGGGGAGUGAAAUAGAACCUGAAACCGUGUGCCUACAACCGCUCAGAGCCCCUUAUGAGGGUGAUGAGGUGCUUUUUGUAGAACGAGCCAACGAGUUACGGUAUGUAGCAAGGUUAAGUACUUAAGGUACGGAGCCGAAGGGAAACCGAGUCUGAAUAGGGCGACUAGUUGCAUGCCGUAGACCCGAAACCGGGUGACCUAUCCAUGGCCAGGUUGAAGCGAGGGUAAAACCUCGUGGAGGACCGAACCACGUUGCUGUUGAAAAAGCAUGGGAUGAGCUGUGGAUAGCGGAGAAAUUCCAAUCGAACCCGGAGAUAGCUGGUUCUCUCCGAAAUAGCUUUAGGGCUAGCGUCGAGUAUGAGUAGUGGAGGUAGAGCACUGAAUGGGCUAGGGGGCAUAGCGCUUACCGAACCUUAUCAAACUCCGAAUGCCACAUACUUUGAGCUCGGCAGUCAGACUACGAAUGAUAAGAUCCGUGGUCAAAAGGGAAACAGCCCAGAUCGUCAGCUAAGGUCCCAAAGUGUAAGUUAAGUGGGAAAGGAUGUGAGAUUUCUAAGACAACUAGGAUGUUGGCUUAGAAGCAGCCAUUCAUUAAAAGAGUGCGUAAUAGCUCACUAGUCGAGAGAUCUUGCGCCGAAAAUGUAACGGGGCUAAACUUACCACCGAAGCUACGGGCUUGAACUUAGUUCAAGCGGUAGGAGAGCGUCGUAACCGGGCUGAAGUCGUACCGUAAGGAGCGGUGGACUGGUUACGAGUGAGAAUGUUGGCAUCAGUAGCGAGAUGUGGGUGAGAAUCCCACAGGCCGAAAACCUAAGGUUUCCUCAGGAAGGUUCGUCCGCUGAGGGUUAGUCGGGACCUAAGCCGAGGCCGAAAGGCGUAGGUGAUGGACAACUGGUUGAUAUUCCAGUACCACUACCAUCGUUAUUAUCGAUGGCGUGACGCAGGAGGAUAGUGUGUGCUAGCUAUUGGAUGCUAGUCUAAGCGUUUAGGCAGUGAGAGUAGGCAAAUCCGCUCUCAUAAUGCUGAGGCGUGAUGGGGAAGGUUCUACGGAACCGAAGUACAUGAUUCCACGCUGCCAAGAAAAGCGUCUAGAGAGAGAAGUAGUGCCCGUACCGCAAACCGACACAGGUAGGUGAGGAGAGAAUCCUAAGGCCGGCGGAAGAAUUACAGUUAAGGAACUCGGCAAAUUGACCCCGUAAGUUCGCGAGAAGGGGUGCCUACGAGAGUAGGCCGCAGAGAAUAGGCCCAAGCAACUGUUUAGCAAAAACACAGGUCUCUGCUAAAGCGUAAGCUGAUGUAUAGGGGCUGACGCCUGCCCGGUGCUGGAAGGUUAAGGGGAACACUUAGCGCAAGCGAAGGUGUGAACUUAAGCCCCAGUAAACGGCGGCCGUAACUAUAACGGUCCUAAGGUAGCGAAAUUCCUUGUCAGGUAAG